UCAACUUUGUAUCUCUAUAAUAUUUAAACACCUUUUGUCCUAGUCAGAUCCUUACGUGAAUACAAAUGUGAGGAGAUGCGUUUAGACUGAAUAUCAUAUUGUGUGGGACUCUAACUAACGACUAUUUUGUUCAAAAUAGGAAUCUGAAAUCCUAAAUUUCUUACUAUUUAAACAAGUUUUCUAUUCAAUCUCUAUCUCUCUUCUUCUUUAUUUUUUAUGCACAAUCCCAAAUCUUAAUCUUUAACUAUUCUUAAUCUGCCACAUAACUAAACCUAUCUUUGUGUCUAAAUCUGUUGAAAUCAAGGUAAUAUGGAGAUGAACCCUAAUGAUUUCGUCAAUCCCAUUUAUCAUUGUGGAGAAAUAGCAAUUUUUGACAGAUUGGAAUCCAGGUUGUCGUUUCUUUGGUUGCAAUCAUUUUAGGGUGCUUGUAGAUUUUUUCUGUGGCUUGAUUCUCCUAUGAACGACCAUGUGCAAGAUAUCAACUUGAGGUUGCUUCGGAGAGUGAGAGCAUUUGAUAUGAAAAGACAAAGGAUGAUGAAUAAUUUAAGAAGGCACUAUUAUGGAUGAAUUUUCUAUUUUUUGUUCAGGUUAUUAGUUGGUUAUGUAUGGUAAAUGAGGGCCAUUUAGCAUUAAAGCAGUUUAUUGGUGCUAUUAGUGCCAGUGGUAGUAAGAAUUGUUUAAGUGCUUCUAAUUUAGCAAAUUGAAAUUAAAUGUAAAGAAAAUAGAAUGCAAUGAAAUUGACUUUUGUUGCUGA